GAAUAUUGGUCAAUGGACGCAAGUCUGAACCAGCCAUGCCGCGUGCAGGACGAAGGCCCUCUGGGUUGUAAACUGCUUUUGUAUAGGAAGAAACGCCCUUACGUGUAGGGGUUUGACGGUACUAUAAGAAUAAGGAUCGGCUAACUACGUGCCCGCAGCCGCGGUAAUACGUAGGAUCCAAGCGUUGUCCGGAUUUAUUGGGUUUAAAGGGUGCGCAGGCGGCUCAAUAAGUCAGUGGUGAAAGCCGGCAGCUUAACUGUCGAAUUGCCAUUGAUACUGUUGAGCUUGAGUAUAGUUGAGGUUGGCGGAAUGUAUCAUGUAGCGGUGAAAUGCUUAGAUAUGAUACAGAACACCGAUUGCGAAGGCAGCUGACUAAGCUAUUACUGACGCUCAUGCACGAAAGCGUGGGGAUCAAACAGG
rnacentral:rRNA from 1 species